GAGCCAGGCAGCCCAAACUAGCAUAUACCCUGACUCUGCUUACACUGAAUGCAAGAGAAGUGACACAAUUUCCCUAGUUUAAUAUUGCCUGCUAACAUGCAUUUAUUUUAACUAAAUAUGCAGGUAAAAAAAAAAAAUCUGAUUUUAAGGCAUUGAUGGUUAGGUACAUUUGUGCGACGAAUGUGCUUUUUUUCGCAAAUGCACUUUUGUUAAAUCAUCACCCAUUUGGCUAAGUAGGCUGUGAUUCGAUAAAUUAACAGGCACCGCAUUGAUUAUAUGCAACGCAGGACAAGGUAGUUAAACUAGUAAUAUCAUCAACCAUGUGUAGUUAACUAGUGAUUAUGUUAAGAUAAGUUGCAAGCUAGCGUUUGGUUUUUUUAUUUUUAUAAAGAUAAACUUAUCUUGGCUCAUUGCAGCCACAUGGUCCUUCUGAUGCUGCACUCGUGUAACAGGUGGUCAGCCUGCCACUCAGUUUCCUCAUUGAUUGCAAUGUAAUCGGCGUCCAAAAACGCUGAUUACCGAUUUUUAUGAACUUGAAAUCGGCCCUAAUUAAUCAGUUGACUUCUACUCCAAAUCAAUGCUUUUUUUUAGUCUGAGUUCUGCAAACUUGAUUGAUACUCAGAAUUGAGCAGGAGUUCCUUUAGGAUACUAACAAGGGAAAGAUGUAGUGACGUGGUAAAGGCGGAUGCUGUUUGAUUGUGAGGCACUAUACAAAUUUGACAGUCAAAAGAUGGGGACUUUAAAUAGGCCUAUGGUACGUCAAGGGAACUGAAGCCUACUGUUCCGAUGGUUUAAAUGGAAAUUGAAAUCUGGAUACUGACUAUAGGUAUAUAACCUCUUACAUAGCCUUAAUAUUAACUUGUGCAGAAUUAAGCAUUUCUUGCAGUAAAAUGAUACAUCAAAUGUAGGCUAAAUGUAUACUCGUUAACAGGAGUGGAGAAAUGUUUUUUUUUUUUAAUUUUAGCUUCUUGAGAGAAUGUGUUCGAUACAGUCUGUAGAGAUGCUGUUUUUAUCAGCAUCAUAAAAGCAUAUUUAAAAUACUCAUCACAUAAAAUAUGCGUACAAGCUGAACUGAAAUCUUGUUGAAAAACAUGUUGGGUUGUUUUCACCGCUUUCUACACUAAACAAAAAUAUAAACGGAACAUGUCAAUUGUUGGUGUUGGUCCCAAGAAGCUGAUUUAAACAGCAUGGUCAUCACACAGGUGCACCUUGUGCUGGGGACAAUAAAAGGCAGUUUUGUCACAACACAAUGCCAUAGAUGUUUUGAGGGAACAAUUACCUUGCUGACUGCAGAAAUGUCCUCCAGAGCUGUUGGCAGAAAAUUGAUUGUUAAUUUCUCUACCAUAAGCCACCUAUUCAACUACGUUUUAGGGAAUUUGUUAGUACGUACAACCGGCCCCAUAUCUGUAGAUCAUGUGUAUGGUGUCGUGUGGGUGAGCGGUUUGCUGAUGUCAACAUUGUGAAUAGUGUCUCGUGGUGGUGGGGUUAUGGUAUUGGGCAGGCACAAGCUACAGAAAACUAACACAAUUUGCAUUUUAUAGAUUGGUAAUAUGAAUGCACAAAAAUACAGCGACGAGAUACUGAGGCCCAUUUUUAAAAAAGUCAUCUGUAACUAACAGAUGCAUAUCUGUAUUCCAAGUCAUGUGAAAUCCAUAGAUUAGGGCCUAAUGAAUUUAUUUCAAUUGACUGAUUUUCCUCAUGAACUGAAACUGAGUAAAAGUUUUGAAAUUGUUACAUGUUUCAUUUAUAUUUUGGUUCAGUAUAUUCCCUUGAAACUGAUCAAACAGCUCAUUUGGAGAUUUUGCACAAUUUUUCAAUUUUUCAGCACACUUUGAAUUUCAAAUUUUCAAAUUUUUUAUUGUAUUUUCUCCCUGGUCCCUAAACAUCUAUGCUCUGCAAAAGAUGCAGAGAUUACAGAACUUUACUUAGGCUAAUUGACAUCAUUUGAGUCAAUCAGAAGCUUCUAAAGCCAUGACAUCAUUUUCUGGAAUUUUCCAAGCUGUUUAAAGGCACAGUCAACUUAAUGUAAACUUCUGACCCACUGGAAUUGUGAUGCAGUGAAAUAAUCUUACUGUAAACAAUUGUUGUAAAAACUACUCUCCUAAUCGACUUGCCAAAACUACAGUUUGUUAACAAGAAAUUUGAAGUGGCUGAAAAACAUGUUUUAAUGACUUCUGACUUCAACUGUUUAAUGACAGAAAAGAAGCUGCAUGUAUCUAAUUACAGACAAGUUGACUUAACAGUCUACCAAAAUGUUGGAAAUUAUAAGCAGAAACAUAUCUAAAUCGAACGGGUUAUUAGCAAUUGCUAAUAAACAAACCGCUCACCCAUGCACAACUAGUGGCUGGCUGACAGCCCUAAAUAAUUCACAUCUUAUUUUCAUGAUUGUAAAGGCUGUGUUUCCACCAGUCCAACCACCUGAUCGGUCAUCUUCCUUCCAUACAAACCCAGCCCUUGCCACCCUAUCCUACCCUCUUUAAUUUGCUCUGUGAUGCGCCCUAAAGUGGUCGGUGCCCAUUGCCAUGCCAACAUGGGGGCGGUGCCAUAACGUGACUGAUGCCCCCCCCCACCCCCCUCAUGUUGUGCGACCGCUAUCACGGUGAUGUCACCAUUCGCUGCCUUUGCAACCUCUAUGAUGCCCAGAGGUAACACUCUGCGGCAGAUGACUCUUGCAUGUUGAUCACUCAAUCCCAAGAUUUUAACUUGAAACUAUAUAUAUAUUUUUUUAUGUACAGUAUAUUCAAACCCCAAAAGUUAUCCCUUUAGUUAAUUCACAAAGGUUUCCCCCAAUCAUUGGUGUGGCGCUGAAGCUGGACAGAGGAGAGUUCUGUUCUGUUCAGGCAGCAUUACAUAAUGAAUCUUAAUUGGUUUGGUUGGUUGACGAGGCCCCCGGGCUACACUUGUGGGGCAUCCCUCUUUCCCUUCCCUCCCACCAUUACAGUUCAAUGUAAUUUCAUUCUUAAAAUGGCUGCCUGUUUUGGGUUUAUUUCCCCCCCUGUUUCUCGUAGUAGGUUUGGUCCAGCCAUAUGUUUUUUUUUUGCACUUCCUCUGUGGUAAAAGCAGGGGUGUUUAUGGUGGAUGGAUUAUCUGGCCACACAGCCUCAGGGCCAGGUCCUCUGUGCUGCUGCUGUUGGGUCAUCUCUGCUGCCUCUGCAUCACUUCCCCCCCUCCCCCGUGCCUCUGCCAACCGCACACAUGUACUCUUAUGCAUUCAGUGACUUGACACACACACUACAGAUUCACAAACGACCCUUCUUCCACCCCCCUAGCAACCGGCUGCAUAAACCUUUUAAUCUGCAGAAACCAGCUGUGAGUUACAUCAUAGAGAUCAGCCCAAUGACAAGGGGAUGGGGUGGGAGGAGGCAUGGAACUGGGGGGGGCUCCCUGAAAUGCACCCUGGUGAAUGGUGAGGUAGUGUGGGGUUGCAGACAGCCAUGUCAGUCAAUCCAUCCCCUCCUGCCGUCUCUGGCCAUUGCCCUCCUACCCGUACUUUUCAUCUGAUGUCCGCCCUACCUCAGAUGUGUUUCUCUCGCUACCGCCGCCCUCCUCUCUUCCCUCGCUCCCUUUCGCCCCAUCACCCUAAUGCGUUGUGUCAGUGUCUGCCCGAGGUUUGGUGCCGAGUUCCUGAAAUAAUCUCCCUCAACCAGUCUGCCAACACUCUCUCUACCUAUGUAACCAGUUCACUCCUUUUAGUGAGGGCGGUGUCUGUCUGUAUGACCAGUCUGACUUGGUUCAAUCUGAGGAAUGCCAACAUUGUUUAGAAAAGGUCAUACCAGGACAGGGUAGGACCAGGACACUUCAGGGCUGACGGCUUGAUGCCAAAACAUAUUUAGUUGAGUUGCCAGGGAUCAUUUGGUGUUGAGCUUGGUGCUGAGCUCAAUGCCUACCUCUCUAAAUGCUUCAAAGAUCUGUCAAACUGUUACUAGCAUUGGAGGAGAGGAUCCAAGGUCCCCCACCUCAGAGGUCCUAACCAUGUGGUUUUGUUCUCUCUGCAGUGUGAAGGAGGGCGGUGACUGUAAGGAUCUGAUGGAGGCGUUUGCAGCCUGUCUGAAGAGUGCGGCGGAGGCGUCGUGAGGAGGAGCUAGGCUCACAGGAAAUGUCCACUGCAUUGAGUCCUCCAUGUUUACCAGUAUUCCCUUCUGCACAACGAGCACUGGGCUGAAUGAUACUGGCGGUGUUUGGCGCCUGGCAGAAACCCUCCACCUCUUACCUACCCCCCCCUCGAAGCUUAAAUGGUGUCUUCCGAUUUGUAUCCCCUGCUCUGCUCCCACCGUGGCUGAGUACAUCCAUUGGUAGACAAUUCCCAGAUAGCCCAUGGGUUUUAUGUAAGUUGUCCACUUAAGAUGCAUACAUUUAAAAUGGAAUAAUAAACUCUAAAAGAAAUUGGUAUAACAUUUUG
ensembl:lncRNA